AAGCUCGUAGUUGAAUUUCGAGAUCAGUACGCUGGUCGUGCCUUCGGUAUGCACUGGUGUCACUGGUUUCUCCCUUCUGAAGAACCGUCAUGUCAUUAAGUUGGUGUGGCGGGGAAUCAGGACUGUUACUUUGAAAAAAUUAGAGUGUUUAAAGCAGGCUCGCGCUUGAAUACAUUAGCAUGGAAUAAUGAAAUAGGACGUUUGACCCUAUUUUGUUGGUUUCUAGGAUCGACGUAAUGAUUAAUAGGGAUAGUUGGGGGCAUUAGUAUUCAAUUGUCAGAGGUGAAAUUCUUGGAUUUAUUGAAGACUAACUACUGCGAAAGCAUUUGCCAAGGAUGUUUUCAUUAAUCAAGAACGAAAGUUAGGGGAUCGAAGACGAUCAGAUACCGUCGUAGUCUUAACCAUAAACUAAGCCGACUAGGGAUCGGAUGAUGUUAAUUUUUUAAUGACUCAUUCGGCGCCUUACGGGAAACCAAAGUGUUUGGGUUCCGGGGGGGGUAUGGUCGCAAGGCUGAAACUUAAAGGAAUUGACGGAAGGGCACCACCAGGGGUGGAGCCUGCGGCUUAAUUUGACUCAACGCGGGAAAA
rnacentral:rRNA from 1 species